UACGUAGGGGGCGAGCGUUGUCCGGAAUCAUUGGGCGUAAAGCGCGUGUAGGCGGUCCGUUAAGUCCGCUGUGAAAGUCGGGGGCUCAACCCUCGGAUGCCGGUGGAUACUGUCGGGCUCGAGUACGGAAGAGGCGAGUGGAAUUCCUGGUGUAGCGGUGAAAUGCGCAGAUAUCAGGAGGAACACCAAUUGCGAAGGCAGCUCGCUGGGACGUUACUGACGCUGAGACGCGAAAGCGUGGGGAGCAAACAGG
rnacentral:rRNA from 1 species